UGGGGAAUAUUGGACAAUGGGGGGAACCCUGAUCCAGCCAUGCCGCGUGUGUGAAGAAGGCCUUAUGGUUGUAAAGCACUUUAAGCGAGGAGGAGGGUACUGGUAUUAAUACUACCAGGUACUGGACGUUACUCGCAGAAUAAGCACCGGCUAACUCUGUGCCAGCAGCCGCGGUAAUACAGAGGGUGCAAGCGUUAAUCGGAAUUACUGGGCGUAAAGCGCGCGUAGGUGGUUCGUUAAGUUGAAUGUGAAAGCCCCGGGCUCAACCUGGGAACUGCAUCCAAAACUGGCGGGCUAGAGUAGGGCAGAGGGUGGUGGAAUUUCCUGUGUAGCGGUGAAAUGCGUAGAUAUAGGAAGGAACACCAGUGGCGAAGGCGACCACCUGGGCUCAUACUGACACUGAGGUGCGAAAGCGUGGGGAGCAAACAGG
rnacentral:rRNA from 1 species